UCAGAGGUGAAAUCCUACAGCUCAACUGUAGAACUGCCUUUGAUACUGAUAUUCUUGAGUAUGAAUGAAGUGGGUGGAAUUUGUCAUGUAGCGGUGAAAUGCAUAGAUAUGACAUGGAACACCAAUUGCGAAGGCAGCUCACUAAAUUAUUACUGACGCUCAUGAACGAAAGCGUGGGGAGCGAACAGGAUUAGAUACCCUGGUAGUCCACGCCGUAAACUAUGAUCACUAGAUGUUGGAGAUAUACUGUCAGUGUUUUAGAGAAAUCGUUAAGUGAUCCACCUGGGGAGUACGUUCGCAAGAAUGAAACUCAAAUGAAUUGACGG
rnacentral:rRNA from 1 species